rnacentral:rRNA from 1 species
AUUGAACGCUGGCGGCAGGCCUAACACAUGCAAGUCGAGCGAGCGGCGGAAGGGUGAGUAAUGUAUGGGGACUGCCCGAUAGGGGGGGAUAACUUAUGAACACGGUGGCUAAUACCACAUACUCUCGGAUAAAACAUAUGGGAUUAGAUAGUAGGGGGGGUAAAGGCUCACAUAGGCGACGAUCUCUAGCUGGUCUGAGAGGAUGAUCAGCCACACUGGGACUGAGACACGGCCCAGACUCCUACGGAGGCAGCAGUGGGGAAUAUUGCACAAGUGGCGCAAGCCUGAGGCAGCCAUGCCGCGUGUAUGAAGAAGGCCUUAGGGUUGUAAAGUACUUUCAGCGGGGAGGCGUUACCCGCAGAAGAAGCACCGGCUAACUCCGUGCCAGCAGCCGCGGUAAUAC